UAGCUAGUUGGUGAGGUAAAGGCUUACCAAGGCGACGAUCUGUAGCGGGUCUGAGAGGAUGAUCCGCCACACUGGAACUGAGACACGGUCCAGACUCCUACGGGAGGCAGCAGUGGGGAAUUUUGGACAAUGGGGGCAACCCUGAUCCAGCCAUGCCGCGUGAGUGAAGAAGGCCUUCGGGUUGUAAAGCUCUUUCGGCCGGGAAGAAAUCGCAUGGGCCAAUACCCUGUGUGGAUGACGGUACCGGAAUAAGAAGCACCGGCUAACUACGUGCCAGCAGCCGCGGUAAUACGUAGGGUGCGAGCGUUAAUCGGAAUUACUGGGCGUAAAGCGUGCGCAGGCGGUUUUGUAAGACAGGCGUGAAAUCCCCGGGCUUAACCUGGGAACUGCGUUUGUGACUGCAAGGCUAGAGUACGGCAGAGGGGGGUGGAAUUCCACGUGUAGCAGUGAAAUGCGUAGAGAUGUGGAGGAACACCAAUGGCGAAGGCAGCCCCCUGGGUCGAUACUGACGCUCAUGCACGAAAGCGUGGGUAGCAAACAGGAUUAGAUACCCUGGUAGUCCACGCCCUAAACUAUGUCAACUAGGUGUUGGGUGGGUAAAACCAUUUAGUACCGUAGCUAACGCGUGAAGUUGACCGCCUGGGGAGAACGGCCGCAAGGUUAAAACUCAAAGGAAUUGACGGGGACCCGCACAAGCGGUGGAUGAUGUGGAUUAAUUCGAUGCAACGCGAAAAACCUUACCUACCCUUGACAUGCCAGGAACUUGCCAGGGAUGGCUUGGUGCCCGAAGGGAGCCUGGACACAGGUGCUGCAUGGCUGUCGUCAGCUCGUGUCGUGAGAUGUUGGGUUAAGUCCCGCAACGAGCGCAACCCUUGUCGUUAAUUGCCAUCAUUUGGUUGGGCACUUUAACGAGACUGCCGGUGACAAACCGGAGGAAGGUGGGGAUGACGUCAAGUCCUCAUGGCCCUUAUGGGUAGGGCUUCACACUUCAUACAAUGGUCGGUACAAAGGGUUGCCAAGCCGCGAGGCGGAGCCAAUCCCAGAAAGCCGAUCGUAGUCCGGAUUGCAGGCUGCAACUCGCCUGCAUGAAGUCGGAAUCGCUAGUAAUCGUGGAUCAGCAUGUCACGGUGAAUACGUUCCCGGGUCUUGUACACACCGCCCGUCACACCAUGGGAGCGGGUUCCGCCAGAAGUAGGUAGCCUAACCGCAAGGGGGGCGCUUACCACGGCGGGGUUCGUGACUGGGGUGAAGUCGGAACAAGGUAGCCGUAGGGGAACCUGCGGCUG
rnacentral:rRNA from 1 species